AUUUAGUAGCAUACAUACCCUUUGAUUUUGGGUCAUGACCUCCCAAAUCCAGGAUGGUGGCACAUAGCAUCUUGGACAAGCCAGAGUGCCAGAACAUAAUGAUGAGACAUGAUAUUUGGGCACGGAUGUUCCCAUCUGGCACACAGAGGCAGCAGGAGAGCAGGUGUAGAAGGCCAUCUGGGCUUGGAGAAGUGGCCAAACAUACUUCCACCUGAGCAUAUGAAUACUGCUCCUGCUGGACCUCUAUGAAGAGUGUAAAGAGCUGGGCAUUAAGCAAUCAAAUAUGCUAAAAACAAUAACUUCAUAGAGGAUAUGAUCAUAAGACAGGAGAUCUUAGAAAUGGAAAGGACCUCAGGAGUCAUUUGGUCUAGCCUCUGCCUUCAGAUCAAUGAAAACUGCUUAUGAAAUGCAAACAGAUGGGCAGAGGCUUUUGGCUCCUCUCCUACGGCAACACAUUUUACCAAGAUGAGAAUGUGAGAUUUUACACCUGUAUGUUUCCAGCAAAAGAAAACUUAUCAAAAGAAAUCAAACUGCCCAAAUAAAUAG